rnacentral:rRNA from 1 species
UACAGAGGUCCCGAGCGUUGUUCGGAUUUACUGGGCGUAAAGGGUGCGUAGGUGGUGAGGUAAGUCGGAUGUGAAAUCUCCGGGCUCAACCCGGAAAUGGCAUUGGAAACUACCUUGCUAGAGGAUUUGAGGGGGGAUUGGAAUACUUGGUGUAGCAGUGAAAUGCGUAGAUAUCAAGUGGAACACCAGUGGCGAAGGCGAAUCCCUGGAAAAUACCUGACACUGAGGCACGAAAGCUAGGGGAGCAAACAGG